AACGCAGGCGGUCUUUUAAGUCUGAUGUGAAAGCCUUCGGCUUAACCGAAGUAGUGCAUUGGAAACUGGAAGACUUGAGUGCAGGAGAGGAGAGUGGAACUCCAUGUGUAGCGGUGAAAUGCGUAGAUAUAUGGAAGAACACCAGUGGCGAAAGCGGCUCUCUGGUCUGUAACUGACGCUGAGGUUCGAAAGCGUGGUAGCAAACA
rnacentral:rRNA from 1 species